CUUAGUACGAGAGGACCGGAAUGAACAUACCUCUGGUGUUUCGGUUGUUCCGCCAGGAGCAUUGCCGAGUAGCCAAGUAUGGAUGAGAUAAACACUGAAAGCAUAUAAGUGUGAAACUCACCUCAAGAUAAGGUUUCCCUGAAGGGCACUUGUAGACUACGAGUUUGAUAGGCUGGAAGUGUAAGUACAGUAAUGUAUGUAGCUAACCAGUACUAAUUGCCCGAUUGGCUUGGUCAC
rnacentral:rRNA from 1 species